rnacentral:misc_RNA from 1 species
AAAAAAUUAAUAUAUAUAUAUAUAGUUGUUUGUCUUUAUCAUGUCUUUAUCCGUAGAAGAGUACAAACAAAACAAAGCUUAGUUCACGUGGACCUGUUGGGUCGUUGGGCCCGCCCUAAGUAAGGAGUUGAGAUCCAGGAAAACUGAAGCCAUAAACGCGGAGGAAAGGAAAUGACAAAGGACCAUUGGUGAUAAUGAUUUGUGACUGAAAACCACAUAACAGUAUAAAGAUCUCCGAAAAUCACAAAUCAUGUGCAUUUUAAAAUAUAUUUCAAAUAAAAAUAACAACAUUUCAACAUCAAAGUUAAAUAUAUCAUUCAUUAUUUUUAUGUUGCUUUGUAUUCUAUUAAUUGGAUUUGAGUUAUAGUUCCUUUCAAACCCAUUGAUUAGUAGUUUUACUGCUGUCUAAGCUAAAUGCUCUUGUAUGAAAAUAUUAUUAUGAAAUUAAAU